UGAGGAAUAUUGGUCAAUGGGCGCGAGCCUGAACCAGCCAAGUAGCGUGCAGGAUGACGGCCCUAUGGGUUGUAAACUGCUUUUGUAUGGGGAUAAAGUCAAUCACGUGUGAUUGUUUGCAGGUACCAUACGAAUAAGGACCGGCUAAUUCCGUGCCAGCAGCCGCGGUAAUACGGAAGGUCCGGGCGUUAUCCGGAUUUAUUGGGUUUAAAGGGAGCGUAGGCCGGAGAUUAAGUGUGUUGUGAAAUGUAGACGCUCAACGUCUGACUUGCAGCGCAUACUGGUUUCCUUGAGUACGCACAACGUUGGCGGAAUUCGUCGUGUAGCGGUGAAAUGCUUAGAUAUGACGAAGAACUCCGAUUGCGAAGGCAGCUGACGGGAGCGCAACUGACGCUUAAGCUCGAAGGUGCGGGUAUCGAACA
rnacentral:rRNA from 1 species